GGCGGCAUGGCCAAGUGGUAAGGCGGGGGACUGCAAAUCCUUUAUCCCCAGUUCAAAUCCGGGUGUCGCCUGAUCAAUCAA
rnacentral:tRNA from 1 species